UACGUAGGGUCCGAGCGUUGUCCGGAAUUAUUGGGCGUAAAGGGCUCGUAGGCGGUCUGUUGCGUCGGGAGUGAAAACUUACAGCUUAACUGUGAGCGUGCUUCCGAUACGGGCAGACUUGAGGUAUUCAGGGGAGAACGGAAUUCCUGGUGUAGCGGUGAAAUGCGCAGAUAUCAGGAAGAACACCCGUGGCGAAGGCGGCUCUCUGGAACGCAACUGACGCUGAGACGCGAAAGCGUGGGGAGCAAACAGG
rnacentral:rRNA from 1 species